CGGGGUGUAGCGCAGCCUGGUAGCGCGCCUGCCUUGGGCGCAGGAGGCCCCCGGUUCAAAUCCGGGCGCCCCGACCA
rnacentral:tRNA from 1 species